UAUUCUGUCUGAUAUUAGUAUAACCAUUUUAGCUUUCUUAUGGUUGCUAUUACAUUAUCUUUUUCCAUUCUUUUACUGUCAGCAUUUUUGUAUCUUUGAAUCUAAAGUGGUAUCUCCUGUAGACGGUAUACAGUUGGAUCCUGAUUUUUUUUUUUUAAAUCCAGUAUGGCAAUAUCUGCCUUUUUAUUUUAUAUACAGCAGAUUUAAUGAAGGCAUCAGAACAGCAGGCUGUGUUGAAAAGUGAGUAAAGAUGUUGACAGUAAAGGAAAAGAGAGGAGAUGACAGCCUAAGGAGGUAAGAGGAUCCAUAGGAAUUUUUUUUUGGAAAGGACUCAUUCCUUCUGAGAAUCGGGAGAAAGAAUCUCCUGCUCUGGCUCUCUUAUGGGAGCCAUCAUAGUCCAGCAGGAAGAACAGGUGCUCUGAAGGCAGGCAAACGUGGAUUCAAAAGUCCAGUGUACCACUAACCAGACAUGAAAUCAUAGGCAAGUCUCUUUACCUGAGCCUCAAGAACACAGGGCUAUAAUAUACUACAGGGUAGAAAAUUAAGACUUAGCAUGCAAAAUACCUAGCAUAAAACUUGGUACAGAGUAGUAAGUACUUGAAUAAAUUAGUCCCCACCCCUAUCCCUUUCAUUAAAAGUUCCCUAAAUGGUCUUAUUUAAUGAAAAUCUUCUAGAUCCUCAAUCACGUCCCUUACCUCCUGCCUUUCCCUCCCCCUUACAUGACUCCUGGUGAUUAAACCUAUUAUUGCUUGGCCAAACACAAACUGGACAAAAGCAAGAUCCUACCUAGUGUGGCUCUUUAUGCAAACAUCGAACCAGUCACUAUGCUUUGAAUAUAGGUAAUUUUUUGUGUACUGUUGUGUUUAUGUAUACUUACAAUCUUUUAUACAUUAUAAAGCAUUUUUGUCUCUUUAAAAAAAUUUAUAAAUGAAAGUAUCCCCACAUUUUUGCAUUUUUCUCACUCAUUUUCAGUCUAUUAUUUCUGCUUUGUGCUACUGGUUAAUAGUGAGAGUUAAAGAAACCUAAAUGUCUGUCAACAGGGCAUUAUGAGACAAAUCUAAAUAACCCAACAACUCAAACUUCCUUAAAUAAAUUUAGGUGUUACAGGACAGUGCACAGCAUAUAAUCUCAUUUUUAUUGAAAAAUAAUGUGUAUGUGUGCUUAUUUUACAAGUUCUAGGAAAAAAAAAGAUAUACCAAAGUGUUAACAGUGAUGGUCUCUGGAUCAGAUGAACUAUGGAUUUUUUUUUCUCAUAUUCAGUAUUUCCUGAGUUUUCUAAAAUGAGCACAUUGUUUUGGAAAUAAAGAAAAAUAACAACAGAAACCACAAAAUGUUUAUAUUAAUGGACACUUAGGUAGGUUCCAUUAAUCUCCUAUUGGUUAGAUAUUUCAUCUGUUCCAAAUAACUGCUACUCAUCCUUCAGGCAGAGCCAGGACUAGAAUUCAGAUACUUAUGUUUUCCAGCUUUAUGUAAAAAUGUCCUAACAACUCUUUUUGGGCUCUACAAAUUUAAGACUGAUGUUCCUAGAGACUUAUGAGCUCACGAGUGAGGUCCUAAAGGAAGAAGGUAGAAGAUGGUAUGACAUGCACACCAGGAGUGGGUUUUCAAAUAAGCUGAAAUAUGGAACAUGUCUUCAAAGAUUCCCCCCAAAAUGCUUCCAUUUCAACAUAUUUUUUGUUUAGAGCUGCCACUAAAGUACUGUGUGACCCGGGUAAGACCCUUAUAAUCCUUAUCAAAUUCUGAAUCUCCAUUUCUGUGUCUGCAAAAUAACAGCUACUGUUAAAUGAAAAUCUCCUCUAUUUUACAGAUAAGAAAACUGAGGUUCACAGUUAUGCAAGUGACAAGACUGACACCAGAUCUAUCUAAUAAAGAAGAAUAAGGGCACAGAAGGUACAGGACUGCUGCUCAAAGAGCUCACAGUCUAGAAAGACAUGAAAUAAAUGAACAACUACAGAAAACAGGAAGCCAAGAAGGAGCAAGGAAAUAAUAAUCCAACACCACAACCAACACUUCUUUCUUUGGGGGAAAAGGUUGAUCUUUUCUACAGAAGUGGGAAAUCAUUUUGUGAUCCAGGAAAGUAAAUCUGUCAUAAGCCAA